rnacentral:rRNA from 1 species
UACGGGGGGAGCAAGCGUUGUUCGGAUUUACUGGGCGUAAAGGGCGCGUAGGCGGCGCAACAAGUCACUUGUGAAAUCUCCGGGCUUAACCCGGAGCGGCCAAGUGAUACUGUCGUGCUAGAGUGCGGAAGGGGCUACUGGAAUUCUCGGUGUAGCGGUGAAAUGCGCAGAUAUCAGGAGGAACACCGGUGGCGAAGGCGGCUUGCUGGGCCUUACCUGACGCUGAGGAGCGAAAGCGUGGGGAGCGAACAGGAUUAGAAACCCC